CCUGCUCCUUGAGACCUUGUAGGUGUGGCUACUGUGUCAUAUGCACAUGAGUAAGUGGCAGAGAGAAGAGACUAUGUCUGUGUCCAGACUUGUGACCGUCUGAAUGACUAGCAGCCUGAUUUU
ensembl:snoRNA LOC120098005 small nucleolar RNA SNORA17